rnacentral:tRNA from 1 species
GGUGGGUUGGCUCUGUGGUUAGAGCUUAGGUCUAGUAACCGAAGUUCGCUGGAUCGAAUCCCGCUAGAGGCUG